UACGAAGGGGGCUAGCGUUGUUCGGAAUUACUGGGCGUAAAGCGCACGUAGGCGGAUUGUUAAGUCAGAGGUGAAAUCCCGGAGCUCAACUUCGGAACUGCCUUUGAUACUGGCAAUCUAGAGUUCGGAAGAGGUUAGUGGAAUUCCCAGUGUAGAGGUGAAAUUCGUAGAUAUUGGGAAGAACACCAGUGGCGAAGGCGGCUAACUGGUCCGAUACUGACGCUGAGGUGCGAAAGCGUGGGGAGCAAACAGG
rnacentral:rRNA from 1 species